ACCUCAAUACAAGAAUUAGGUGGUCUAGCCGAACACAGCUGGAAAGCUGGAGCAUAGAAGGUAAAACUCCUGUAGGCGAAAGGCUUACCUAACCUUUGGGGUAUCCCGAGUACCACGGAGCACGUGGAAUUCCGUGGGAAUCUGGCAGGACCACCUGCCAAGGCUAAAUACCCAAUGCGACCGAUAGUGGACUAGUACCGUGAGGGAAAGGUGAAAAGCACCCCGGGAGGGGAGUGAAAUAGAACCUGAAACCAUGUGCCUACAAGCAGUCGGAGCUCUUUUUAGGGUGACGGCGUACUUUUUGCAGAACGGACCGGCGAGUUACGUAGGCGAGCGAGGUUAAGGCUAUUAGGGCUGGAGCCGUAGCGAAAGCGAGUCUUAAAAGGGCGCUAGUUCGUCUACGUAGACCCGAAACCGGGUGAGCUACCCAUGGCCAGAGUGAAGCGUGAGUAAAAUCACGUGGAGGCUCGAACCAACCGUCGUUGAAAAGGCGGUGGAUGAGCUGUGGGUAGGAGUGAAAAGCCAAUCGAACCCGGAGAUAGCUGGUUCUCCCCGAAAUAGCUUUAAGGCUAGCCUUGAGGUAUAGAGUACCGGGGGUAGAGCACUGGAUGGGCUAGGGGCCUUCACCGGUUACCGAACCCAACCAAACUCCGAAUACCGGUACUUGUUGCUCAGGAGUCAGACUAUGGGUGAUAAGGUUCAUAGUCGAGAGGGAAACAGCCCAGACCAACAGCUAAGGUCCCAAAGUGUGACUAAGUGGAGAAGGAUGUGGGGUUGCAUAGACAACCAGGAUGUUGGCUUAGAAGCAGCCAUCAUUUAAAGAGUGCGUAAUAGCUCACUGAUCGAGUCGGCCUGCGCCGAAGAUUUAACGGGGCUAAGCAGUGUACCGAAGCUGCGGAUGCCAUUUAUGGCAUGGUAGAGGAGCGUUCCGUAAGCCUGUGAAGGUGUGUUGUAAAGCAUGCUGGAGGUAUCGGAAGUGCGAAUGCUGACAUGAGUAGCGAUAAAGGGAGUGAAAAGCUCCCUCGCCGGAAGUCCAAGGGUUCCUACGCAACGCUAAUCGACGUAGGGUUAGUCGACCCCUAAGGUGAGGCCGAGAGGCGUAAUCGAUGGGAAACAGGUUAAUAUUCCUGUACCGAUGUUUACUGCGAUGGAGGGACGGAGAAAGCUAAACCAGCUUGCUGAUGGUUGCAAGUUUAAGCGUUUAGGCAGAGAUCUUAGGCAAAUCCGGGAUCUUGAUGCUGAGGCGUAAUGACGAGUCCUCUUUUGGACGAAGUGGUUGAUGCUCUGCUUCCAAGAAAAACUUCUAAGCUUCAGGUAAACACGAUCGUACCCCAAACCAACACAGGUGGACAGGAUGAGAAUUCCAAGGCGCUUGAGAGAACUCGGGUGAAGGAACUAGGCAAAAUGAUACCGUAACUUCGGGAGAAGGUAUGCCCACGCGAGUGGGCCGCAGAGACCAGGUGGCUGCAACUGUUUACUAAAAACAUAGCACUGUGCAAAAUCGAAAGAUGACGUAUACGGUGUGACGCCUGCCCGGUGCCGGAAGGUUAAUUGAUGGGGUUAUCCCACCUCCAGAUUGUUUUUUUACUUGUUAUUUUNGCAAUCUUCGAUUUUUUUGUUCGGUCGUGUACACUAGUACACCUCCCUUUCAAAAAAAGUCUAACCUUGCUCAAAAAUUACUGCGUAAAGCAGCAAGUAAUGAGAAUAAUGUGGUGGUGGGAGAAGCUCUUGAUCGAAGCCCCGGUAAACGGCGGCCGUAACUAUAACGGUCCUAAGGUAGCGAAAUUCCUUGUCGGGUAAGUUCCGACCUGCACGAAUGGCGUAACGAUGGCCACACUGUCUCCACCCGAGACUCAGCGAAAUUGAAAUCGCAGUUAAGAUGCUGCGUCCCCGCGGCUAGACGGAAAGACCCCGUGAACCUUUACUACAGCUUUGCACUGGACUUUGAUACUAUCUGUGUAGGAUAGGUGGGAGGCUUUGAAACUUUAUCGCUAGAUAGAGUGGAGCCGAUCUUGAAAUACCACCCUGAUAUUAUUGAGGUUCUAACCUCGGCCGCUGAAUCGUGGUCAGGGACAGUGUAUGGUGGGUAGUUUGACUGGGGCGGUCUCCUCCUAAAGAGUAACGGAGGAGCGCGAAGUUACCCUCAGCACGGUCGGACAUCGUGCAAUGAGUGCAAGAGUAUAAGGGUGAUUGACUGCGAGACAGACACGUCGAGCAGGUACGAAAGUAGGUUCUAGUGAUCCGGUGGUUCUGUGUGGAAGGGCCAUCGCUCAACGGAUAAAAGGUACUCCGGGGAUAACAGGCUGAUACCGCCCAAGAGUUCAUAUCGACGGCGGUGUUUGGCACCUCGAUGUCGGCUCAUCACAUCCUGGGGCUGAAGUCGGUCCCAAGGGUAUGGCUGUUCGCCAUUUAAAGUGGUACGCGAGCUGGGUUUAGAACGUCGUGAGACAGUUCGGUCCCUAUCUGCCGUGGGCGUUGGAGAAUUGAGGGGGGCUGCUCCUAGUACGAGAGGACCGGAGUGGACGAACCGCUGGUGUUCCUGUUGUCUCGCCAGAGGCAUUGCAGGGUAGCUACGUUCGGGAGGGAUAACCGCUGAAAGCAUCUAAGCGGGAAACCUGCCCCAAGAUAAGUUCUCCCUAAACUUUAAGUUUUCUAAAGGGCCGUUAAAGACUAUGACGUUGAUAGGCUGGGUGUGGAAGUACAGCAAUGUAUGAAGCUAACCAAUACUAAUUACCCGUGAGGCUUAACUAU
rnacentral:rRNA from 1 species